rnacentral:rRNA from 1 species
UACGAAGGGGGCUAGCGUUGCUCGGAAUCACUGGGCGUAAAGCGCACGUAGGCGGCUUUUUAAGUCAGGGGUGAAAUCCUGGAGCUCAACUCCAGAACUGCCUUUGAUACUGAGGGUCUUGAGUUCGGGAGAGGUGAGUGGAACUGCGAGUGUAGAGGUGAAAUUCGUAGAUAUUCGCAAGAACACCAGUGGCGAAGGCGGCUCACUGGCCCGAUACUGACGCUGAGGUGCGAAAGCGUGGGGAGCAAACAGG